UACGGAAGGCAGCAGUGGGGAAUAUUGCACAAUGGGCGAAAGCCUGAUGCAGCUAUGCCGCGUGUAUGAAGAAGGCCUUAGGGUUGUAAAGUACUUUCAUCGGGGAGGAAAAACAAAACUAAUAAUUUUAUUUCUUGACGUUACCCGAAAAAGAAGCACCGGCUAACUCCGUGCCAGCAGCCGCGGUAAUACGGAGGGUGCUAGCGUUAAUCAGAAUUACUGGGCGUAAAGAGCACGUAGGUGGUUUUUUUAAGUCAGAUGUGAAAUCCCUGGGGCUUAACCUAGGAACUGCAUUUUGAAACUGAAAUACUAGAGUAUCGUAGAGGGAGGUAGAAUUCUAGGUGUAGCGGUGAAAUGCGUAGAUAUCUGGAGGAAUACCUGUGGCGAAAGCGGCCUCCUAAACGAAUACUGACACUGAGGUGCGAAAGCGUGGGGAGCAAACAGGGAUUAGAUACC
rnacentral:rRNA from 1 species